UACGUAGGGUGCAAGCGUUAAUCGGAAUUACUGGGCGUAAAGCGUGCGCAGGCGGUUAUGUAAGUCAGAUGUGAAAUCCCCGGGCUUAACCUGGGAACUGCAUUUGAAACUGCAUGGCUUGAGUACGGUAGAGGGGGGUAGAAUUCCACGUGUAGCAGUGAAAUGCGUAGAGAUGUGGAGGAAUACCGAUGGCGAAGGCAGCCCCCUGGACCGUAACUGACGCUCAUGCACGAAAGCGUGGGGAGCAAACAGG
rnacentral:rRNA from 1 species